AACUUUUACAAUGCGGGAAACCGUGAUAAGGGGACACCGAGUGCCAGCAACAUUUGUUGGCUGUCCAGGUGUGUAAACUACACCUGUUAGCAAGGCCGGGCAAGACCGGUCCAGCCGCCGCGGUAACACCGGCGGCCCGAGUGGUGAUCGUGAUUAUUGGGUCUAAAGGGUCCGUAGCCGGUUUGGUCAGUCCUCCGGGAAAUCUGACGGCUUAACCGUUAGGCUUUCGGGGGAUACUGCCAGGCUUGGAACCGGGAGAGGUAAGAGGUACUACAGGGGUAGGAGUGAAAUCUUGUAAUCCCUGUGGGACCACCUGUGGCGAAGGCGUCUUACCAGAACGGGUUCGACGGUGAGGGACGAAAGCUGGGGGCACGAACCGGAUUAGAUACCCGGGUAG
rnacentral:rRNA from 1 species